rnacentral:rRNA from 1 species
UACGUAGGGUGCAAGCGUUAUCCGGAAUUAUUGGGCGUAAAGAGCUCGUAGGCGGUUUGUCGCGUCUGCUGUGAAAACCCGAGGCUCAACCUCGGGCCUGCAGUGGGUACGGGCAGACUAGAGUGCGGUAGGGGAGAUUGGAAUUCCUGGUGUAGCGGUGAAAUGCGCAGAUAUCAGGAGGAACACCGAUGGCGAAGGCAGAUCUCUGGGCCGUAACUGACGCUGAGGAGCGAAAGCAUGGGGAGCGAACAGG